rnacentral:rRNA from 1 species
CCUACGUGUGGCAGCAGUAGGGAAUUUUCGGCAAUGGGGGGAACCCUGACCGAGCAACGCCGCGUGAAGGAAGAAGGAAUUCGUUCUGUAAACUUCUGUUAUAAAGGAAGUAAGACGGAUGGUGUAAAUGACAUCCGAGUGACGGUACUUUAUGAGAAAGCCACGGCUAACUACGUGCCAGCCGCCGCGGUAAUACGUAGGUGGCUAGGGUUAUACGGAAUUAGUGGGCGUAAAGAGGGGGCAGGCGGCAGCAAAGGUCUGUGGUUAAAGACUGAAGCGUAACUUCAGUAAGCCAUAGAAACCGGGCAGCUAGAGUGCAGGAGAGGAUCGUGGAAUUCCAUGUGUAGCGGUGAAAUGCGUAGAUAGAUGGAGGAACACCAGUGGCGAAGGCGACGAUCUGGCCUGCAACUGACGCUCAGUCCCGAAAGCGUGGGGAGCAAAUAGGAUUAGAUACCCUUGUAGUC